rnacentral:rRNA from 1 species
AGCAGCCGCGGUAAUUCCAGCUCCAAUAGCGUAUAUUAAAGUUGUUGCAGUUAAAAAGCUCGUAGUUGAAUUUCGGGAUUAGUAGGUUGGUCGUGCCUCUGGUAUGUACUCGCCUUACUGAUUCCUCCUUCUUGAAGAACUGUAAUGCCAUUAAUUUGGUGUUGCAGGGAAACAGGACUGUUACUUUGAAAAAAUUAGAGUGUUUAAAGCAGGCCAUUGCCUGAAUACAUUAGCAUGGAAUAAUGAAAUAGGACGUUGAUCCUAUUUUGUUGGUUUCUAGGAUUGACGUAAUGAUUAAUAGGGAUAGUUGGGGGCAUUAGUAUUCAAUUGUCAGAGGUGAAAUUCUUGGAUUUAUUGAAGACUAACUACUGCGAAAGCAUUUGCCAAGGAUGUUUUCAUUAAUCAAGAACGAAAGUUAGGGGAUCGAAGACGAUCAGAUACCGUCGUAGUCUUAACCAUAAACUAUGCCGACUAGGGAUCGGAUGAUGUUAAUUUUUAAUGACUCAUUCGGCGCCUUAAC